AUAUUUACCUGCGACGUGACUCAGAUUGCAUUUUCUGUUGGUGACCGAAGUAAUGGGAGUGUUUUGGGCCUUGCUUGUUUCUGUGCUGACUGUCUGGUUUACCAAAGGCUCUGGUUUGCCGGUUGGUGGCAAGAAUGAAAUGAGUGGUAAUGGGCAGCAGAGGACAAUGAGCGAUCUAUCUCCUAAUGACUCCUCCAUGAAGAAGGCCCUUACACUUCAGGCCAAAACGG